ACAUUUAGGAGCAGUAGAGAGAAUAAGACUGUCAGUGAAAACACGAUGACCCUCUCCAUCUGAAAUAUGACACCAAGCCAGAGCUCAGCGUCUCAUUGUUCCUGCUGAGGAGCAGCACACGCUGACGACCAAGCAGAGCGGAAUUCCCCCUCGCUGUCUAUAUGAUAGCAACACCACUGCUAUGCAGCAUUUGGAAUGUGUGUGGCUGAACUGGGCUUGGCUGUGGAUGGGGGUUAAAAGGUAGUAAAUGCAUGUGUGUGUGUGUGUGUGUGUGUGAGCGUCUGGGAGUUGGGGUGUCAACCCAUAAUCUAACGUUGGCACUCGGGUGUGAGGCUGGAAUUCCCCUACAUUCUGUGAGGCAGCUGCUGACUUUUUAUGAAUCAAGGACCACGUUUCAGCUAAAAAUCUUUACUGCUCUACUCAAGACAAAAAAAGUCACCUACAUCUUGGAUGACCUGAGGGUUGGUGAGAGCAUGAGGACUAUAUAGAUCUCCAGCAGGUGCUGAGUGGCUGCUGUCUCAGGUCACACAUUGCGACAGGACAUGUUUCAGAUCCCUGGCUGAGAACUGAGAGCUAGGUUGACAGCACUGGUGUCAUGACAUCAUCAGCACCACCAUCAUCAUCAUCAUCAUCAUCAUCGAACCUGGGCCAGGGGAAUUAUAAAAUUAAAAAGUCGAGUGAGGAUGCAAGCUCAGCAAAAGGUUGGGCACAUCCAGCGAUGAAAAUGCAAUCAAAACAAACAGAGCCCUGCAAUCUGGGGAGACAAGUGAGAGGGGCUUCUCUGCUAUCUCCAUUAAUCAGAGACCAGGGAUCGUUCAAAGGGAUCUGCCGACCCUUCCCUCAUCCCUCAAACCUGGGGCUGCAGGAUGGACAAGAUUAGACCUACUGAUAGCAGCUGGAUCAGUCACAAAAACAACCAUCUCUGCAGGUAUACCCACAUGUGCUCAUAGGCUAAGACCUAACAACAUAGUGGUAAGUGAGGCCGCUUGAUGUCACAAAGAUAUAUUAUGGUAAUGAUAAGGUUUUACAUCAAUUACACAUGUUUUCUCUAACAGUGGUUUUGUACAUUGGUUUAAACAUUUUUUUUCCCGUGAAUUUUAUCCUUCAGUAAAAUUCCAACAUUUUUUGCCUUAUAAACAAAUGAACAAUAAAACCACAAUAGCAUUCAGGCAAGGAUAAAAAAAAUAUAAAUAAGUUUGUAUAAUUAUAAUUUAUUUUAAUCUAAACCAAAUCUGGGCAAAUUUAGCUAAUAAUUAAGCCAUCACAUGUUUAAAAUUUUACAUAUUUACACUAUUCAUUAAAUAUGUGUGCCUACUCAGAAAGUGAAAACUAGCACUAGU